GUAGCGGGAAAAAAAGCUGACUAGUCGUUGUGGUUUGGGGUGAGGUGUUAAUUUGAAAAGUGAAUAGGAAUUUACAAAGUUGUAAAGAUCUAGCAUAUAUGCACUAUUUUCAAGUGUCUGUGAAUGAGUGAGAGGGAGCAAAAAAGCUGGGUGGAAGAGAGGAACGAAUGGGUUUAAGAGGAUAUUGGUAAAAGCUUAGAGAUCUUUGGUGGGUGUGGGUGAUAUGUGUGCUUUUAGUUGUUUUUCUUUC
rnacentral:lncRNA from 1 species